GCACAGACAUGAGGGCCCCCACUCAGCUUCUGGGGUUGCUGCUGCUCUGGCUUACAGGUGCCAGAUGUGAAAUCCAGAUGACCCAGUCUCCAGCCUCCCUGUCUGUGUCUCUGGGAGAAAGUGUCACCAUCACGUGCGUGGCAAGUCAGAGCAUUAGUAGUUGGUUAGCAUGGUAUCAGCAGAAACCUGGGAAUCCUCCUAAGCUCCUGAUCUAUUAUGCAACGAGUUUGGUAGAUGGAGUCUCAUCAAGGUUCAGUGGCACUGGAUCUGGUACACAGUUUUCUCUCAAGAUCAGCAGCCUGAAGCCUGAAGAUGUGGCAAAUUAUUUCUGUCAACAGUAUAACAAUUACCCUCCCACAGUGAUUCAAGUCAUGACAAAAACCAACCAGGGAAGCAGAAGUGAGAGCCUAGGCUGCCACAAAUGCUCUUUCUGGUUUCUUCAGCUGCUAAGAGUGUUUCUCUUUUCUCUUGCCAAGAUUUAA